UCGAGAAUCUUCGUCAAUGGGCGAAAGCCUGAACGAGCGACGCCGCGUGUGGGAUGAAGGCCUUUGGGUUGUAACCACUGUCGAGGGGGAUGAAGGCUUGAGGGUACUCCUUCAAGUUUGACAGAGCCCUGGAGGAAGCACGGGCUAAGUUCGUGCCAGCAGCCGCGGUAAUACGAACUGUGCGAACGUUAUUCGGAAUCACUGGGCUUACAGGGUGCGUAGGCGGCUUAGCAAGUCAGGUGUGAAAGCC
rnacentral:rRNA from 1 species